CACUGCCAUUAUUUGGUCUCCACGUUUCAGACGUCCGUCCUCAGCCGCUGCUCCCUGAACACAUAGGAUUGUCGUUGAACAAAACAUCAUUCUUCAGUUCAGUGAAAGGUAGAUUAUCUCGGUGUGGGAGAGUUGAUCUUGCCAGAACAGAGGAGGAUUUGGUCUCCUGCCCACAGCCUGCCAUCCUUGGAGGCUGCUCCUUCUUCGUAAACCUCGUGGAUAAUGAUGGCCCCCUGGAGAAGAAGAGGGAAAUUAAAAUAUAAAAAGCGAAAUAAUUGAGGCAGCAAAGAAAGACAGUGAAUGUUUGGCUGAAUAUUGUCUGCAGCGGCUGAGGCCAGACAAAGAGGUGCUCCCCCAAGCCUGACUGAGCAGACAGAAUAGAUGGGCUGAGGAGAGGAUGGCAGGAGAGGCAGAAAGAGGAGGAGGAGGAAGAGGGUGUCACAGCCUCCCACGAUGCUCAGACCCAAGCCAGUGCGACCCUUGGAGAUGUCAAUGGUGGUCUCACAGCCAGGGAUGAUGGGACAGGUCGCUGGGUCACAGGUCAGAGUUGAUGGAGUGGAGGAGCGACUCAGACC